rfam:Brassica napus, WGS project CCCW01000000 data, contig: 24010
GGGGAUGUAGCUCAUAUGGUAGAUCGCUCGCUUUGCAUGCGAGAGCCACAGGGUUCGAUUCCAUGAAUCUCCA